rnacentral:rRNA from 1 species
GAUGAACGCUGGCGGCGUGCCUAAUACAUGCAAGUCGAGCGAACAGAUAAGGAGCUUGCUCCUUUGACGUUAGCGGCGGACGGGUGAGUAACACGUAGGUAACCUACCUAUAAGACUGGAAUAACUCCGGGAAACCGGGGCUAAUGCCGGAUAACAUUUAGAACCGCAUGGUUCUAAAGUGAAAGAUGGUUUUGCUAUCACUUAUAGAUGGACCCGCGCCGUAUUAGCUAGUUGGUAAGGUAACGGCUUACCAAGGCAACGAUACGUAGCCGACCUGAGAGGGUGAUCGGCCACACUGGAACUGAGACACGGUCCAGACUCCUACGGGAGGCAGCAGUAGGGAAUCUUCCGCAAAGGGCGAAAGCCUGACGGAGCAACGCCGCGUGAGUGAUGAAGGUCUUCGGAUCGUAAAACUCUGUUAUUAGGGAAGAACAAAUGUGUAAGUAACUGUGCACGUCUUGACGGUACCUAAUCAGAAAGCCACGGCUAACUACGUG